rnacentral:rRNA from 1 species
UACGUAGGGGGCUAGCGUUGUCCGGAAUCAUUGGGCGGAAAGAGCGUGUAGGCGGUCCGGUAAGUCCGCUGUGAAAGUCGGGGGCUCAACCCUCGAAUGCCGGUGGAUACUGUCGGGCUAGAGUGCGGAAGAGGCGAGUGGAAUUCCUGGUGUAGCGGUGAAAUGCGCAGAUAUCAGGAGGAACACCUAUUGCGAAGGCAGCUCGCUGGGACGUAACUGACGCUGAGACGCGAAAGCGUGGGGAGCAAACAGG